rnacentral:ncRNA from 5 species
GCUGAACUUAAGCAUAUCAAU